CGUGAAGACAAGCAGGUUGAAGCGCCAUUUGAGGUCCACCAGGGUGGUGAAGAGGUCGCUCAGGUGCUCCCCCCCAUUCCGAGGAAGCAGGGUCCCUGGUAGCAAAUCCCAGAUGCAUGUUCUAUAAACAAUGGAGGAAGAGUUCACCCAUCACAAAAAAGUCAGAUGAUCCUGGCAGACCUUUUUCUCUGCUGCCUUGGUGGUUGCAGCAAUUUCAAGGAUGAAGAAAGAGACACAGAGCAUCUAAGUCAAGGACCGAAGGGCCCCGGUGGGCCAUCUGCUGGGCAAGGCACCACGCUCACAGAAACUCCCUAUAAUUCCCCCAGAUCUGGGGAAGGGAUACUCUCUCCCGUGACGCGCCACAGCUGACUUUAAGAAAGGGAGACCACCUGGGGUGAGCCAGCCCU